rnacentral:rRNA from 1 species
GAAUUCGCCCUUAGAGUUUGAUCCUGGCUCAGGACGAACGCUGGCGGCGCGCCUAACACAUGCAAGUCGAACGGAGUCAAGAGGAGCUUGCUUUUCUUGACUUAGUGGCGAACGGGUGAGUAACGCGUGAGUAACCUGCCCUGGAGUGGGGGACAACAGUUGGAAACGACUGCUAAUACCGCAUAAGCCCACGGAUCCGCAUGGAUCUGCGGGAAAAGGAUUUAUUCGCUUCAGGAUGGACUCGCGUCCAAUUAGCUAGUUGGUGAGGUAACGGCCCACCAAGGCGACGAUCGGUAGCCGGACUGAGAGGUUGAACGGCCACAUUGGGACUGAGACACGGCCCAGACUCCUACGGGAGGCAGCAGUGGGGGAUAUUGCACAAUGGGGGAAACCCUGAUGCAGCGACGCCGCGUGGAGGAAGAAGGUUUUCGGAUUGUAAACUCCUGUCGUUAGGGACGAUAAUGACGGUACCUAACAAGAAAGCACCGGCUAACUACGUGCCAGCAGCCGCGGUAAAACGUAGGGUGCAAGCGUUGUCCGGAAUUACUGGGUGUAAAGGGAGCGCAGGCGGACCGGCAAGUUGGAAGUGAAAACUAUGGGCUCAACCCAUAAAUUGCUUUCAAAACUGCUGGCCUUGAGUAGUGCAGAGGUAGGUGGAAUUCCCGGUGUAGCGGUGGAAUGCGUAGAUAUCGGGAGGAACACCAGUGGCGAAGGCGACCUACUGGGCACCAACUGACGCUGAGGCUCGAAAGCAUGGGUAGCAAACAGGAUUAGAUACCCUGGUAGUCCAUGCCGUAAACGAUGA